rnacentral:rRNA from 1 species
AUACGAAGGGUGCAAGCGUUACUCGGAAUUACUGGGCGUAAAGCGUGCGUAGGUGGUUGUUUAAGUCUGUCGUGAAAGCCCUGGGCUCAACCUGGGAAUGGCGAUGGAAACUGGGCGACUAGAGUGUGGCAGAGGGUAGUGGAAUUCCUGGUGUAGCCGUGAAAUGCGUAGAGAUCAGGAGGAACAUCCGUGGCGAAGGCGACUGCCUGGGCCAACACUGACACUGAGGCACGAAAGCGUGGGGAGCAAACAGGAUUAGAUACCCUGGUAGUCCACGCCCUAAACGAUGCGAACUGGAUGUUGGGUGCAAUUUGGCACGCAGUAUCGAAGCUAACGCGUUAUGUUCGCCGCCUGGGGAGUACGGUCGCAAGACUGAAACUCAAAUGAAUUGACGGGG